AAACAUGGCUCUUUGAGUACCAAAUAUAAAGAGUCCAGCCUGCCCAGUGAAUUUUUUCAACGGCCGCAGUACCCUGACUGUGCAAAGGUAGCAUAAUCACUUGCCCUAUAAUUAAGGGCUAGAAUGAAAGGCUAAACAAGAACAAAACUGUCUCUACUUUAAUUCUCUACAAUUUAAUAUUUAAGUGAAGAAGCUUAACUUAAAUUAAAAGACGAGAAGACCCUAUCGAGCUUAAAAACACCUAUAAACUAAAUUCAUUUAUAGUUCUUUUUGGUUGGGGCGACCUAGGAACCAAUAAGCUUCCUAACUUUUAUUAUAACUAUUUAGACCCAGUCCAACUGGUUAAUAAAACAAGCUACCGUAGGGAUAACAGCGUAAUUUUCUUUAAGAGUUCUUAUCAAAAAGAAACCUUGCGACCUCGAUGUUGGACUAAAAUUUCCUAAAUGAUGCAGAAGUCUUUUUGGUUGGUCUGUUCGACCAUUAAAAUUUUACAUGAUCUGA
rnacentral:rRNA from 1 species